rnacentral:rRNA from 1 species
GAUGAACGCUGGCGGCGUGCCUAAUACAUGCAAGUCGAGCGAACAGAUGAGGAGCUUGCUCCUCUGACGUUAGCGGCGGACGGGUGAGUAACACGUGGAUAACCUACCUAUAAGACUGGGAUAACUUCGGGAAACCGGAGCUAAUACCGGAUAAUAUAUUGAACCGCAUGGUUCAAUAGUGAAAGACGGUUUUGCUGUCACUUAUAGAUGGAUCCGCGCCGCAUUAGCUAGUUGGUAAGGUAACGGCUUACCAAGGCAACGAUGCGUAGCCGACCUGAGAGGGUGAUCUGCCACACUGGAACGGAGACACGGUCCAGACUCCUACGGGAGGCAGCAGUAGCGAAUCUUCCGCAAUGGGCGAAAGCCUGACGGAGCAACGCCGCGUGAGUGAUGAAGGUCUUCGGAUCGUAAAACUCUGUUAUUAGGGAAGAACAAUUGUGUAAGUAACUAUGCACGUCUUGACGGUACCUAAUCAGAAAGCCACGGCUAACUACGUG